rnacentral:rRNA from 1 species
UACGAAGGGGGCUAGCGUUGCUCGGAAUCACUGGGCGUAAAGCGCACGUAGGCGGCUUCUUAAGUCAGUGGUGAAAUCCUGGAGCUCAACUCCAGAACUGCCUUUGAUACUGAAGAUCUCGAGUCCGGGAGAGGUGAGUGGAACUGCGAGUGUAGAGGUGAAAUUCGUAGAUAUUCGCAAGAACACCAGUGGCGAAGGCGGCUCACUGGCCCGGUACUGACGCUGAGGCACGAAAGCGUGGGGAGCAAACAGG